rnacentral:rRNA from 1 species
AGGAUGAACGCUGGCGGCGUACCUAACGCAUGCAAGUCGAACGGGGAUGUAAGGAGCAAUCUGAACAUUCUAGUGGCAAACGGGUGAGUAACACGUAGGGAUCUACCUUGAGGUGGGGAACAACGGACCGAAAGGUUCGCUAAUACCGCAUGUAGUCGCGAGACUAAAGGAUUCGAAAGGAUUCGCCUUGAGAGGAGCCUGCGUUCGAUCAGGUAGUUGGUGAGGUAACGGCUCACCAAGCCGAUGACCGAUAGCUGUUCUGAGAGGAAGAUCAGCCACACUGGGACUGUGACACGGCCCAGACUCCUACGGGAGGCAGCAGCGAGGAAUAUUGCACAAUGGACGCAAGUCUGAUGCAGUAACGCCGCGUGAGGGAAGAAGACCUUCGGGUUGUAAACCUCUUUUAUAGAGGACGAGUGAGGACGGUACUCUAGGAAUAAGUCUCGGCUAACUACGUGCCAGCAGCCGC